UGUGUGCAUGUGCAUUUGUGUGUUUGUGCAUGUGUGUAUGUGUGCACAUUUAUGUGCAUGCAUGUGUAUGUAUGUGUGUGCAUAUGUGUAAUUGUAUAUAUAUGUGCAUAC
rnacentral:miRNA from 1 species